CCUACGGGAGGCAGCAGUGGGGAAUCUUAGACAAUGGGGGCAACCCUGAUCUAGCCAUGCCGCGUGAGUGAUGAAGGCCUUAGGGUCGUAAAGCUCUUUCGCCUGUGAUGAUAAUGACAGUAGCAGGUAAAGAAACCCCGGCUAACUCCGUGCCAGCAGCCGCGGUAA
rnacentral:rRNA from 1 species